rnacentral:rRNA from 1 species
UUUUCGGAAUCAGAGACUAAGCGAAAGUGAUAAGUUAGCCACCUGGGGAGUACGUUCGCAAGAAUGAAACUCAAAGGAAUUGACGGGGGCCCGCACAAGCGGUGGAUUAUGUGGUUUAAUUCGAUGAUACGCGAGGAACCUUACCAAGGCUUAAAUGGGAAAUGACAGGUUUAGAAAUAGACUUUUCUUCGGACAUUUUUCAAGGUGCUGCAUGGUUGUCGUCAGCUCGUGCCGUGAGGUGUUAGGUUAAGUCCUGCAACGAGCGCAACCCCUGUCACUAGUUGCCAUCAUUAAGUUGGGGACUCUAGUGAGACUGCCUACGCAAGUAGAGAGGAAGGUGGGGAUGACGUCAAAUCAUCACGGCCCUUACGCCUUGGGCCACACACGUAAUACAAUGGCCGGUACAGAGGGCAGCUACACAGCGAUGUGAUGCAAAUCUCGAAAGCCGGUCUCAGUUCGGAUUGGAGUCUGCAACUCGACUCUAUGAAGCUGGAAUCGCUAGUAAUCGCGCAUCAGCCAUGGCGCGGUGAAUACGUUCCCGGGCCUUGUACACACCGCCCGUCAAGCCAUGGAAGUCUGGGGUACCUGAAGUCGGUGACCGUAACAGGAGCUGCCUAGGGUAAAACAGGUAACUAGGGCUAAGUCGUAACAAGGUAGCCGUACCGGAAGGUGCGGCUGGAACAUCUCAUUUA